CCUACGGGAGGCAGCAGUGGGGAAUAUUGCACAAUGGGGGAAACCCUGAUGCAGCGACGCCGCGUGAGUGAAGAAGUAAUUCGUUAUGUAAAGCUCUAUCAGCAGGGAAGAAAAUGACGGUACCUGAGUAAGAAGCCCCGGCUAACUACGUGCCAGCAGCCGCGGUAAUACGUAGGGGGCAAGCGUUCUCCGGAUUUACUGGGGGUAAAGGGAGCGUAGACGGCAGUGCAAGUCUGGAGUGAAAGGCGGGGGCUCACCCCCCGGACUGCUCGGGAAACUGUACGGCUGGAGUGCAGGAGAGGUCAGUGGCAUUCCUAGUGUAGCGGUGGAAUGCGUAGAUCUUAGGAGGAACCCCAGUGGC
rnacentral:rRNA from 1 species